AGGCUGGCAUUACAAGACAGCUGCUGACCACCCCUGAGUUACCUACCCCCUUGUCCACAUCUGAGAAACAAAUGACUCAUUUCUCAAGGUUUGAGGAUGGCAACAACUUAAAGUUUUGAAAGUAAACAGCAAAUUAACUGACAUAGAAACCAAAGCUGAGUUCAGACUGACAACCAGAUUUGCUUUGUCCUUGGAUUGUCAGUUCAAAACCUGGCUAAUUCUAAUUCACUUUACAGUGAUAGCAAGUUGUAGACCAACUUUAAUCACACAGAGACGCCAGUUACUGUGUUGUAAGGACGCUUGAGCAGCUCUAUGGAGAGGCCUAGGUGGUGAGGAACGGAGGCCUCCUACAGCAGUGUCAUGGAUGAGCCAUCUUGGAAAAUGCUCCUUUGGCUCUGGCCAAGCCUUCUGAUAACGGAAGCCCAGGCUGUCCCCUCGACUGCAAACUCAUGAGAGACUCCGAGGUAGAACCACCCACCUGAGUCUCUCCUGGAUUUAUGACCUGUAGAAAAAAAAAAUAUGUG